rnacentral:rRNA from 1 species
UACGUAGGGUGCAAGCGUUAAUCGGAAUUACUGGGCGUAAAGCGUGCGCAGGCGGUUAUGUAAGACAGGUGUGAAAUCCCCGGGCUUAACCUGGGAACUGCAUUUGUGACUGCAUAGCUAGAGUACGGUAGAGGGGGAUGGAAUUCCGCGUGUAGCAGUGAAAUGCGUAGAUAUGCGGAGGAACACCGAUGGCGAAGGCAGCCCCCUGGGCUAACACUGACGCUCAGGCACGAAAGCGUGGGGAGCAAACAGG